CCCUACGGGGUGCAGCAGGCAGAGGGCGAAGGCAAGCGACAGCAAUCGCAUGGUCAUUAGAAUAGACGGCGGCUCUUCUUCUGAGGUUGUGGGGGGCCGAGAGCUUUUUCGAUGGCAGUGAGAGCCAGCGGGGCCAUGAUGCGGUAGCCGGCAGGAUUGGGAUGGAGGCCGUCGUCGGCAUAAUCGGCCUUCAAUUGGCCGGCUUGGUCUGCGAGGCUGGUGAAGUAGUCCAGGUAGACGUAGUUGCGGCGCGCGCAGAAUGCUUUUAGCC
rnacentral:rRNA from 1 species